CGAUUCGUGGGAAGAGGACGCCGCAAUCCGGCGAGGUGGGAGCGCGAGAUGGGGUCGGCGGUGCUACCGACGCUGCGGCGGAAGCGGGAGGUGGACACCGCCAUUCGCGACACCCUCGACAAGGUCCUCGUCCUCCGAUUCGGCCGCGCCGCCGACGCCGCCUGCCUCCAGCUCGACGACGUUCUUGCAAAAUCUUCUUGGGAUAUAUCCAAGUUUGCGACGAUAGCAUUGGUCGACAUGGAUUCUGAGGAGAUUCAAGUGUACGUUGACUAUUUUGAUAUCACGUUGGUUCCGGCAACCAUUUUUUUCUUCAAUGCUCAUCACAUGAAGAUGGAUUCAGGGACACCUGAUCACACAAAAUGGGUAGGCUCUUUUAGCAGCAAGCAAGACUUCAUUGAUGUAGUGGAGGCAGUAUUUAGGGGUGCGAUGAAAGGCAAACUGAUAGUGUCCUGCCCACUUCCACCAGAGAGGAUACCUAGAUUCCAACUUCUUUUCAAGGAUGUCUGAACACAAGAAGCUCUAAUUAUAAACAGAUUAUGAAUGAUACGAUUUAUGGACUGCAGGAGGAUAUGAAGCUGUGGUUGCAUGAGCUAGGUGGUGAACAAUCAAGAGUUGGCACUUACAUUGGGAACCUAACCAGGACUAAUACAGCCUAAAAUUUAGUGAUUUUGCUGGAAGGCCUAACAUUUAGUUGGUGGAACUCCAACAAGCUAGAAUGCACUCAAACUCGACACCGUAAUCCAUCUUUAUAUUAAUUGAUGGUGCCAGAAUCAAACCACAUGCAUAUGAAUCUGGCUCCUAACAAGAAUCAUAGCACGGGAUGUGUACAACGUAUGACAUGACCUUGUGGCCUUGUGGUCACUCCCCACUCCAUAGUCCAUACCCACGGGCCACGGAUAGCAGCAUAACAAAAAGGUUCGGUACGAUGGGAAAGGCCCGAUCUACUCAUAUCAGAUCUAUCUACGGCUCACAUGUGGCUCCCAGAACGAAAAGGCGCCUCUUUUUCUUUCCCGCACAAACAUUCUUCUCCUUGUCGUUGGCACUAACCACACUACGUGUACUCACGUGCUGUCCCUUUGCUAGCACUUUUCUAGGUGCCACCCGGUGAACCUCUACAAGGCUGCUUGUCCUAUACAUACAUAAGUAGUUCCUUGAGCGAACAGUAUAGGACAUUGCUUUGGACGUACAUAAAAAAGCAUAUUCAAGUGUUUACUUAUGUUUUUUUGCUGGACUAGUAUGGUGUUUCUU